UACGGAGGAUGCGAGCGUUAUCCGGAUUUAUUGGGUUUAAAGGGUGCGCAGGCGGCCUGUUAAGUCAGCGGUAAAAGCCCGAGGCUCAACCUCGGUUCGUUUCAGAAACUGGCAGACUUGAGUGUGGUAGAGGCAAGUGGAAUUUCUAGUGUAGCGGUUAAAUGCGUAGAUAUUAGAAGGAACACCAGUGGCGAAGGCGGCUUGCUGGGCCAUUACUGACGCUGAGACACGAAAGCGUGGGGAGCAAAUAGG
rnacentral:rRNA from 1 species